UGAGGAAUAUUGGUCAAUGGGCUGAGGCCUGAACCAGCCAAGUCGCGUGAGGGAAGACGGUCCUAUGGAUUGUAAACCUCUUUUGCCGGGGAGCAAGACGGUCACGAGUGACCUACUGAGAGUACCCGGAGAAAAAUGCAUCGGCUAACUCCGUGCCAGCAGCCGCGGUAAUACGGAGGAUGCGAGCGUUAUCCGGAUUUAUUGGGUUUAAAGGGUGCGUAGGCCGACUGUCAAGUCAGUGGUAAAAUUGAGAGGCUCAACCUCUUCGAGCCAUUGAAACUGGCGGUCUAGAGUGGGCGAGAAGUAUGCGGAAUGCGAGGUGUAGCGGUGAAAUGCAUAGAUAUCACGCAGAACUCCGAUUGCGAAGGCAGCAUACCGGCGCCCGACUGACGCUGAGGCACGAAAGCGUGGGUAUCGAACAGGAUUAGAUACC
rnacentral:rRNA from 1 species